rnacentral:rRNA from 1 species
CAGUCGCCGCGGUAAUACGUAGGUGGCAAGCGUUGUCCGGAAUUAUUGGGCGUAAAGCGCGCGCAGGUGGUUUAAUAAGUCUGAUGUGAAAGCCCACGGCUCAACCGUGGAGGGUCAUUGGAAACUGUUAAACUUGAGUGCAGGAGAGAAAAGUGGAAUUCCUAGUGUAGCGGUGAAAUGCGUAGAGAUUAGGAGGAACACCAGUGGCGAAGGCGGCUUUUUGGCCUGUAACUGACACUGAGAGACGAAAGCUAGGGGAGCAAAUGGGAUUAGAGACCCCAGUAGUCCCUGUCUCUUAUAC